UACGAAGGGGGCUAGCGUUGCUCGGAAUGACUGGGCGUAAAGGGCGCGUAGGCGGUUUGGACAGUCAGAUGUGAAAUUCCUGGGCUCAACCUGGGGGGCUGCAUUUGAUACGUUCGGACUAGAGUGGGGAAGAGGGUCGUGGAAUUCCCAGUGUAGAGGUGAAAUUCGUAGAUAUUGGGAAGAACACCAGUGGCGAAGGCGGCUCACUGGCCCGGUACUGACGCUGAGGUGCGAAAGCGUGGGGAGCGAACAGG
rnacentral:rRNA from 1 species